rnacentral:rRNA from 1 species
CUACGGGAGGCAGCAGUGGGGGAUAUUGCACAAUGGGGGGAACCCUGAUGCAGCGACGCCGCGUGAAGGAAGACGUACUUCGGUAUGUAAACUUCUAUCAGCAGGGAAGAAGAUGACGGUACCUGACUAAGAAGCCCCGGCUAACUACGUGCCAGCAGCCGC